CCUACGGGAGGCAGCAGUGAGGAAUCUUGCACAAUGGGCGAAAGCCUGAUGCAGCGACGCCGCGUGAGGGACGAAGGCCUUCGGGUUGUAAACCUCUGUCAGUGGGGAAGAAGAAUGACGGUACCCACUGAGGAAGCUUCGGCUAACUACGUGCCAGCAGCCGCGGUAAU
rnacentral:rRNA from 1 species